GGUUCCACCGCCUGCUUUGCAAGCACAAGGACCCAGCCUCACAGAGCACUCCAUUUGGCCACCUAUGCCCCUCCCUCAGUGAAGAAUGGAAGGGGAUUCAUUCUCUCCUCUUCCGCCUCUGAGAGCCUGUUUCCAUAGACAUGUGGGGACACGUGUGACUCACGUGUGUCACUACGGAACCCUCCCGCUCCACUCUUCUCGAGGCCAACAACAGGAUGAUCUUUUCAUUGUCGAAUCGUGUUCUACUGUCCAGAGUGCAGACCACGAGUGCCCUGUCCAUUCGUCCCCUGGUGGGCACCUUGGGUGGCCCCUUAUCUCAGCUUUUGUGAAUAA